rnacentral:rRNA from 1 species
UACGUAGGGGGCAAGCGUUGUCCGGAUUUAUUGGGCGUAAAGCGCUCGCAGGUGGUCCGCUGCGUCGUGCGUGAAAGACCCCGGCUCAACUGGGGGAUGUCGUGCGAUACGGGCGGACUGGAGGCCAGUAGGGGGAUGCGGAAUUCCGGGUGUAGUGGUGGAAUGCGUAGAGAUCCGGAGGAACACCAGCGGCGAAGGCGGCAUCCUGGACUGGUCCUGACACUCAGGAGCGAAAGCGUGGGGAGCGAGCCGG